rnacentral:rRNA from 1 species
GACGAACGCUGGCGGCGUGCCUAAUACGUGCAAGUCGAGCGAAUCGAUGGGAGCUUGCUCCCUGAGAUUAGCGGCGGACGGGUGAGUAACACGUGGGUAACCUGCCUGUAAGACUGGGAUAACUUCGGGAAACCGGAGCUAAUACCGGAUACUUUCUUUUCUCGCAUGAGGGAAGAUGGAAAGAUGGUUCUGCUAUCACUUACAGAUGGACCCGCGGCGCAUUAGCUAGUUGGUGAGGUAACGGCUCACCAAGGCAACGAUGCGUAGCCGACCUGAGAGGGUGAUCGGCCACACUGGGACUGAGACACGGCCCAGACUCCUACGGGAGGCAGCAGUAGGGAAUCUUCCGCAAUGGACGAAAGUCUGACGGAGCAACGCCGCGUGAGCGAAGAAGGCCUUCGGGUCGUAAAGCUCUGUUGUUAGGGAAGAACAAGUACGAGAGUAACUGCUCGUACCUUGACGGUACCUAACCAGAAAGCCACGGCUAACUACGUGCCAGCCGCCGCCGUAAAAC